UUUUAAUUGUUGCUGCUUUUGUACAUUAGCAAAAAAAAAUACAAGCAAGUUAUGAUGAAGAAGUCUGGUUAUGCUAUUUUUCUAAGAAGCUGGGAUAAAUUCAUAUUUUGUUCCUCUUUUUUUUUUUUUUUAAAUAUGUUUAUGUCAGAUUGGCAGAUUUACCAUAUAAACACAUAAUGGCAAAUUAUGGCAAACUUUGCAAAUGAACAUGUAUUUAUCGAAUUUCCUUGUUAUCUUUUUUUAUUGCUAGCAACACAUGAAGACAUCAGUCCCCUCUCGGCAAUACAUAUUAUCGAUUGACACUACUGUAUGCUGAGACUGAACAACAGAGUUCUCACUUGGACUUUUUGCUUGCUCCUCAAAGACUUUUAAAAAAUUAAAUAAUAACUAUUAUAUUUCUAACUGUUUUUAAUCUAAUUAUUAGUCACAAGUUGCGCUUUUGUUAUAUAUAUGACUUCUAUUCAAAUUGUGUAUACCUCUUUGAACUGCAACGUACUGUGGCUAAUU
rnacentral:lncRNA from 1 species